CCCUUGGUGCGCAUGCGCCAACUGGUGUGGGAGGGCGGAAUGACCUCGUUUGUUGCGGUCCGGUUUGUUUGACUUUCAAUUAAUUCGGGUUCUGCAGAUUUGGAAAGGUCCACAAGGAUUAUCCAGGAUUAUCCACUUCAACACUCUGGAAUGUGCAGGCAGACCAAUAAAGUCAUCCAUGAAAGAAUCCAGGGGAUCAUCGCUGGCAGAUAAUGGUUUAUAUCUGGAUCAUUGUAAUGUGCUCUCUCUGGGGCUACCUUUGAGGAGUAUUCAGAAGAUAAAAUUGGUUCAGAACCCUGCUGUAUGAACAGUUCUGGAGACCCCUAGGGUGGCACAUGCAACAAUGCAAACUGCACUGGCUACCGAUCUGCUUCUGGGUCGAAUUCAAGCUGUUGGUUGUUACUUUUAAAACCAUUUAUGGGUCCAGGAUACCUGACGAACCAUCUAUUCCAGGGGUCUCCAACCCCCAGGCCAUGGCUUACUACAGUUCAAAACUGGGUUGUGGGAGAAAUGGGCAACUGCAUAUGCAUGAAGCUCCAUUUGCGUGAGCAGCAGAAAACCGCGCGCACCCACAUGAAGCUCCACUCGUGACUGGAGGGUGCCCUCUGCUCAUAAUGAUGAUUGAACCAUUUGCUGGAGAUUCAAUGGAUUUCAAUACCGACAUAUUUGGAAGUUUACAGGAAUCAUGAACAGUGGUCUAAGUCAGUCUUUCUCAAACUUGGCAACUUUUUUAAGAGGAGUGGACUUCAAUUCCCCGAAUAUUCCAGCCAGCUGGAAAUUUCAGUCCAUGUCUCCUCAAGUUGCCAAGGUUCAAAAACACUGAUCUAAAAUGGGUUUACCAGUUAUGAGAGAAAAGAAUGAAACUAAGAGCCAGAGCAGGAAAAACAGAGACGAAGGUUAUCCAAUAGGAUGGUGGCUAAGAAAGCUGGGACACUACAGGGCGUCUUCUCUGUCAACACAGAUGACAUCAGUAUAAAAGCAACAACAGCUGGAUUUAUUGACCACUUGAAAAUCCAUUAACCAGAGGUUCAUUUAAUCUUUUAAGAGUGCUCUGGAUUUUAUUCUUUAUGCUACUUUAUGCUGUAAUCAUUAUAUAUUCUUUAGGUUUUGUUAUCGAUGGGUUUACCAUUUUUGUUUUUAUCUUAACUGUUUGCAAUACUUUAAUGUUUGUGAUCAUGAUUGCCUUUGCUGUAUUAAAAGUAUUA